rnacentral:rRNA from 1 species
CGGGAUGGACGUACCUCUGGUGUACCAGUUGUCCUGCCAAGGGCAUGGCUGGGUAGCUAUGUACGGAAUGGAUAAGCGCUGAAAGCAUCUAAGCGCGAAGCCAACUUCAAGAUAAGAUUUACCACCGCAAGGGUAAGACCCCAGAAAGACUAUCUGGUUGAUAGGUCGAAGGUGUAAGUGCAGCAAAGUAUUGAGCAUAGCGAUACUAAUGGGUCGAGGACUUGACCAAU